AUUGAACGCUGGCGGCAGGCCUAACACAUGCAAGUCGAACGAGUGGAGGAAGGGUGAGUCAUGUCUGGGAAACUGCCUGAUGGAGGGGGAUAAAUACUGGAAACGGUAGAUAAUACCGCAUACCAUCGGAUGUGCCCAGAUGGGAUUAGCUAGUAGGUGGGGUAAAGGCUCACCGAGGCGACGAUCCCUAGCUGGUCUGAGAGGAUGACCAGCCACACUGGAACUGAUACACGGUCCAGACUCCUACGCGAGGCAGCAGUGGGGAAUAUUGCACAAUGGGCGCAAGCCUGAUGCAGCCAUGCCGCGUGUAUGAAGAAGGCCUUCGGGUUGUAAAGUACUUUCAGCGGGGAGGCGUUACCCGCAGAAGAAGCACCGGCUAACUCCGUGCCAGCAGCCGCGGUAAUAC
rnacentral:rRNA from 1 species